rnacentral:rRNA from 1 species
GUCUUUUUGGUUAUAAUUUAAAGUUUAAUCUGCCCACUGAAUUAAUUUAAAGGGCUGCAGUAUUUUGACUGUACAAAGGUAGCAUAAUCAUUAGUCUUUUAAUUGAAGACUUGUAUGAAUGAUUUGAUGAAAUAUAAACUGUCUCUUUAUUAUUAGUAGAAUUUAAUUUUUUAGUUAAAAAGCUAAAAUUUUUUUAAAAGACGAGAAGACCCUAUAGAGUUUUAUUUUUGAGUUUUUAAAAAUAUUUUAUAAAAAUUAUAAUUUUUUAAAAAUUUAAAAAUUUUGUUGGGGUGAUGAAAAAAUUUAUUAAACUUUUUUUAAAAAAAAUAAAAACAUUAAUUUAUGAAUUUUUGAUCCAUAAUUUAUGAUUAUAAGAUUAAAUUACCUUAGGGAUAACAGCGUAAUUUUACUUUUUAGUUCAAAUAAAAAUUAAAGUUUGCGACCUCGAUGUUGGAUUAAGAUAAAAUUUAAAUGCAAAAGUUUAAAGUUUUGAUCUGUUCGAUCAUUAAAAUCUU